UGUGUAGGCGGUUGUUUAAGUUUGGUGUGAAAUCUCCCGGCUCAACUGGGAGGGUGCGCCGAAUACUGAAUGACUUGGAGUGCGGGAGAGGAAAGUGGAACUCCUGGUGUAGCGGUGAAAUGCGUAGAUAUCAGGAGGAACACCGGUGGUGUAGACGGCUUUCUGGACCGUAACUGACGCUGAGACACGAAAGCGUGGGUAGCAAACA
rnacentral:rRNA from 1 species